rnacentral:lncRNA from 1 species
CCCCUAAAAAUCUCAUCCCGACUUGGUAGCCCAUCAAUAUCCAUUUCUCAUCUUGCUUGCUUAGUAACAAUGCUUCAUCCUCCUUUCUCAAGAAUUCUGACCAUCUAAAUUUAAACUUUAAAUUGAUAAGGUGAUGAUAAAGAAUCUGGUUGUCCAUAGAAUACAAGAGAUAGUCAAGCCAAACUCAAAUUAGAAUGAAUUUUAAAUCAGAAAGUAAUGAAGCAAAAGAAUAUAGAACGACACGCUGCACGUAGUAGAUCAACCAUGCCGACCC